UAGGGAAUCUUCCGCAAUGGGCGAAAGCCUGACGGAGCAACGCCGCGUGAGUGAUGAAGGUCUUCGGAUCGUAAAACUCUGUUAUUAGGGAAGAACAUAUGUGUAAGUAACUGUGCACAUCUUGACGGUACCUAAUCAGAAAGCCACGGCUAACUACGUGCCAGCAGCCGCGGUAAUACGUAGGUGGCAAGCGUUAUCCGGAAUUAUUGGGCGUAAAGCGCGCGUAGGCGGUUUUUUAAGUCUGAUGUGAAAGCCCACGGCUCAACCGUGGAGGGUCAUUGGAAACUGGAAAACUUGAGUGCAGAAGAGGAAAGUGGAAUUCCAUGUGUAGCAGUGAAAUGCGCAGAGAUAUGGGGGAACACCAGUGGCGAAGGCGACUUUCUGGUCUGUAACUGACGCUGAUGUGCGAAAGCGUGGGGAUCAAACAGGAUUAGAUACCCUGGUAGUCCACGCCGUAAACGAUGAGUGCUAAGUGUUAGGGGGUUUCCGCCCCUUAGUGCUGCAGCUAACGCAUUAAGCACUCCGCCUGGGGAGUACGACCGCAAGGUUG
rnacentral:rRNA from 1 species